rnacentral:rRNA from 1 species
UACGUAGGGUCCAAGCGUUGUCCGGAUUUAUUGGGCGUAAAGAGCUCGUAGGCGGCUCAGUAAGUCGGAUGUGAAAACUCGGGGCUCAACCCCGAGACGCCAUCCGAUACUGCUGUGGCUUGAGUCUGGUAGGGGAACACGGAAUUCCUGGUGUAGCGGUGAAAUGCGCAGAUAUCAGGAGGAACACCAAUUGCGAAGGCAGCUCGCUGGGACGUUACUGACGCUGAGACGCGAAAGCGUGGGAGCAAACAGG